GACUCCAUUCUACGCCCAUUUCUUCUUUCUUCUAGGGUUCAAACUUCAAACACUUGCUGAAUUCAUCUUCUUCAUUCACAUGCCUGUGCACCACACAUUUUCCCUCACCCCUUUCACCUCUCUUUCUUUCGCUCAGACGACCUUUUAAUUUUUAAUCGCUUCGCUUUACAUUGCCAGCAGCGGAGGAGGAGGGAUCAAUGGAGAUGGAGAUUUCAUGGUUGGGGUGAGCGCACAUUCCGCGAGUGGAGGAGGGGUGUGAUCAAUCCAUUACACUUGGUAUAGCAAUUGAUACUGUUGAGUGUUCAUUGCGAAUAUAUCCUAUGACUAUUAGAGUGGUUUGGUUUAAGUGGAACUCGCAAAUGGAUUUCCUAGAGGACAACAACUGAAGAAAUUUACUCGAUUACUCUUUCCUCGAUCAUCCUCCAGCCAAUUUCCUUUGAUUCAAUCAAAGGUUUUUCAUUUCUCUUUUUUAAAUUCUUAUUAUUGUUCUUCCUUCUUUUUGGUAUUACAAGUAUGCUAUUCAUUUGGAAAUACGGUGAAUCAUAACAUCACCCUUUAGUUUAUCAUGAUUUCAAUUAGACUAUAAUAAUCUUGGGUGCUAAAUCUAUGGUUUUGAUUUCAAAGAAGGGGAGAUUGAGAAGAUGGGUCAUCCAUGGCAGGGUGCAAGCGGCGGAGAAAGGGGGGUUGUCAAAGAUGAGGACUCACUCUGUGAUCUCAAUCUUCUCUUCCCUCCCUCCUUCUCCAGGGUCAUGUAUAGCCAAACUUCAUGCCACUAAAGUAGGAGAAUUCUAUAGUUCUUCCUCUUCUUCGCCUCAAAUUGAAGAAAAUUUGUGCAAGUUGGGAGCUAUUUACCCUUAAUUUAGUAGAGCAUUACUUUGUCAGAAUGAUAAUUAUUGUGCGUCACUGUAUUAAGCUCCUACAUUUUAAAUCUAACUUUAACUUUUGGAUUCAGCUCUCUAGAUUGUCUUUUUUUUAGUGGAAUGACUGGCAUUAUA